rnacentral:rRNA from 1 species
UACAGAGAGAGCAAGCAUUAUCCAUCCUAACUGGGUGUAAAAGGUGCGUAGGUUAAUAUUAGAUAGAAGACUAGAUGAUAAUUGCUGUGUUGGCAGGCGUUUCUAGUACCAAGUAUUUUGAGAUGCAGAGAGGUUGUUAGAACACAUAGUGUUCAAUUGUUCAGGAAACUGUCGAUCUUAUGGAGACUACCUAGAGCGAAGGCAUCCAACCUGCUGUAGUCUGACACUAAGGCACGAAAACGUGGGGAGCAAAAGGG